UAGGGAAUAUUCCGCAAUGCCCGCAAGGGUGACGGAGCGACGCCGCGUGCAGGAUGACAUUCUUCGGGAUGUAAACUGCUUUUCUUUGGGAAGAAAUCUGACUGUACCUUUGGAAUAAGUAGCGGCUAAUCACGUGCCAGAAGCCUCGGUGAUACGUGAGCUACAAACGUUGAGCGGAUUGAUUGGGCGUAAAGGGUGCGUAGGCGGCUAUGUAAGUCGAAUGUUAAAUAUUCUGACUCAAUCAGAAAAGUGCGUUCGAAACUGCAUUGGCUAGAACGUAAGUGGGGUGAGUGGAAUUCCCGGUGUAGGAGUGGAAUCCGUUGAUAUCGGGAGGAACACCAAUGGCGAAGGCAGCUCACUAACUUAAUGUUGACGCUAAGUGCACGAAAGCGUGGGGAGCAAACGGG
rnacentral:rRNA from 1 species